AAGAUCAUACUUUCAAGAGAUUGUUUCUAUAGUUCGUUACUAGGGAAGUUUGAGUCAAUGUGGGGAGCACCGAUUAAACCACGAGACAAGAGACGUAGGGUUCUUUCAUUGAGCGUGAAGCCGGCAUUGGGUGUUGCUUCAGUGCAACCGCCGUUUGCCGUUGAAGGUCAUUUUCCUCUCCGUUUUGGAGAGUAAGGAAAAAAGCAGGGUCUGAGUGGU
rnacentral:snoRNA from 1 species